rnacentral:snRNA from 1 species
GUGUGAGUACUUUAUUCUCUGCUAAGUCACCUACACAUCCCUCCUGAAGCUGUACACUGGAUCAAAGAGGAUGACCUUUCCCAAUACAGGAGGACCUCUCUUUGGUCAAGGGUAUAUGAGUGGCUGCACUCCCCUGCUAGAAUCUUCAAAUAAGCUCUCAAGGUCCAUUACACUCAAGUCACAUAAAAUAGAUUCUGUUCCCAACUAUAGUGGCACUAUGCUGUCACUUAGC